rnacentral:rRNA from 1 species
GAUCAUGGCUCAGGAUGAACGCUAUCUACAGGCUUAACACAUGCAAGUCGAGGGGAAACGACAUCGAAAGCUUGCUUUUGAUGGGCGUCGACCGGCGCACGGGUGAGUAACGCGUAUCCAACCUGCCUACCACUUGGGGAUAACCUUGCGAAAGUAAGACUAAUACCCAAUGACAUCCCACGAAGACAUCUGAAUGGGAUUAAAGGUUUAUCGGUGAUGGAUGGGGAUGCGUCUGAUUAG